AGAGUUUGAUCAUGGCUCAGGAUGAACGCUAGCGGCAGGCCUAACACAUGCAAGUCGAGGGGCAUCACGGAAAAGCUUGCUUUUCUGGUGGCGACCGGCGCACGGGUGCGGAACGCGUAUGGAACCUGCCCCUGUCAGGGGAAUAGCCCAGGGAAACUUGGAUUAAUGCCCCAUGGUAUCGUUUUAUCGCAUGAUAAGGUGAUUAAAGAUUUAUCGGACAGGGAUGGCCAUGCGUACCAUUAGCUAGUUGGUAAGGUAACGGCUUACCAAGGCAACGAUGGUUAGGGGCCCUGAGAGGGGGAUCCCCCACACUGGUACUGAGACACGGACCAGACUCCUACGGGAGGCAGCAGUGAGGAAUAUUGGACAAUGGGCGGGAGCCUGAUCCAGCCAUGCCGCGUGCAGGAUGACGGCCCUAUGGGUUGUAAACUGCUUUUAUACGGGAAGAAACGCACCUACGUGUAGGUGUCUGACGGUACCGUAAGAAUAAGGACCGGCUAACUCCGUGCCAGCAGCCGCGGUAAUACGGAGGGUCCGAGCGUUAUCCGGAAUCAUUGGGUUUAAAGGGUCCGUAGGCGGGCCUGUAAGUCAGGGGUGAAAGUUUGUGGCUCAACCAUAAAAUUGCCUUUGAUACUGCAGGUCUUGAGUCAUGGUGGGGUCGCCGGAACAUGUGGUGUAGCGGUGAAAUGCAUAGAUAUCACAUAGAACACCGAUCGCGAAGGCAGGUGGCCAACCAUGUACUGACGCUGAUGGACGAAAGCGUGGGUAGCGAACGGGAUUAGAUACCCCGGUAGUCCACG
rnacentral:rRNA from 1 species